rnacentral:rRNA from 1 species
CCUACGGGAGGCAGCAGUGGGGAAUCUUGCGCAAUGGGCGAAAGCCUGACGCAGCAACGCCGCGUGCGGGAUGAAGGCCUUCGGGUUGUAAACCGCUUUCAGCAGGGAAGAAAUUGACGGUACCUGCAGAAGAAGCCCCGGCCAACUACGUGCCAGCAGCCGCGGUAACACGUAGGGGGCGAGCGUUGUCCGGAUUUAUUGGGCGUAAAGAGCUCGUAGGCGGUUCGGUAAGUCGGGUGUGAAACCUCCAGGCUCAACCUGGAGACGCCACCUGAUACUGCUGUGACUAGAGUCCGGUAGGGGAGUGUGGAACUCCUGGUGUAGCGGUGAAAUGCGCAGAUAUCAGGAAGAACACCAGCGGCGAAGGCGGCACUCUGGGCCGGUACUGACGCUGAGGAGCGAAAGCGUGGGUAGCAAACAGGAUUAGAUACCCUGGUAGUCCACGCCGUAAACGUUGGGCACUAGGUGUGGGUCUCAACCAACGAGAUCCGUGCCGCAGCUACGCAUAAGUAGCCCGCCGUCGGGUAGGUACGGCCGGCGACGGACGUAAACCGUACAAACUAGAAUUAGACGGCGUGAGACGUGCCGACGGACGACGACGAGGGAGUAGG